rnacentral:rRNA from 1 species
CCUUUGUACACACCGCCCGUCGCUACUACCGAUUGAAUGGCUCAGUGAGGCUUCCGGACUGGCCCAGAGGGGUGGGCAACUACCCUUCCGGGCCGGAAAGUUAUCCAAACUCGGUCAUUUAGAGG